AGGGAGAGGGGCAGAUUCUGGACUCUCAGGGGCCGUCUGCCACGUCAAAGGCUGUGUGGCCAUGCAGGUCUUCGCUUACCUGAAGGCUCUAGGGAUGACUCAUGGGAACCAGAUUGGUGCUGGCCUGGAAAGACCCAAGCGGGGAUGUGAUAUCGGAGACAGGGCUGGAUCACUGUGAAUAACGGCACCAUCCCCACCCAGCCUGACAGUAACCAAUCAGAGGAUUUUGCCCUCUUCUCAGCCUGGACACAGGAGAGGAGACAGAGGGAGCAGCUAAACCCUAAUCCAAGGAGAAAUGACCCCAGUCCUGGCCAGGUCCUCAUCUGAGAAGAACAUGCCCUUGGCCUCAAAGAACACUUCCUGUGUGGACAACUAUGAAGAAAAAUGGCGUGUCUCGGCUGGA
rnacentral:lncRNA from 1 species